rnacentral:rRNA from 1 species
UACGGAGGGGGCGAGCGUUAAUCGGAAUUACUGGGCGUAAAGCGUGCGCAGGCGGUGCGGUAAGUCAGGGGUUAAAGGCUGCAGCUCAACUGCAGUAAGGCCUUUGAUACUAUCGCGCUAGAGUACCAGAGAGGAUGGCGGAAUUCCCGGUGUAGCAGUGAAAUGCGUAGAGAUCAGGAGGAACACCGAUGGCGAAGGCAGCCCCCUGGGCCUGUACUGACGCUCAUGCACGAAAGCGUGGGGAGCAAACAGG